CNCCAACCCAAUGUGACCAUACCAACUGUUGCCUCGGCGGGGUCACGCCCCGGGUGCGUCGCAGCCCCGGAACCAGGCGCCCGCCGGAGGGACCAACCAAACUCUUUUCUGUAGUCCCCUCGCGGACGUUAUUUCUUACAGCUCUGAGCAAAAAUUCAAAAUGAAUCAAAACUUUCAACAACGGAUCUCUUGGUUCUGGCAUCGAUGAAGAACSCAGCGAAAUGCGAUAAGUAAUGUGAAUUGCARAAUUCAGUGAAUCAUCGAAUCUUUGAACGCACAUUGCGCCCGCCAGUAUUCUGGCGGGCAUGCCUGUCCRAGCGUCAUUUCAACCCUCGAACCCCUCCGGGGGGUCGGCGUUGGGGAUCGGGAACCCCUAAGACGGGAUCCCGGCCCCGAAAUACAGUGGCGGUCUCGCCGCAGCCUCUCCUGCGCAGUAGUUUGCACAACUCGCACCGGGAGCGCGGCGCGUCCACGUCCGUAAAACACCCAACUUCUGAAAUGUUGACCUCGGAUCAGGUAGGAAUACCCGCUGAACUUAAGCAUAUCAUA
rnacentral:rRNA from 1 species